CUGUAUGCCUUCAUAGCGGCCCGGCCUGAAAACCGUCACUGGCAUUUUUUGUGCCACAGGGAUCAUUGUCCUUUGGGCACUAUGCAUUUGGGAGCUCCUUAUCAGGUUUGCAUCAGAUACAACACCUCCAGCAGAACCUCCAUGCUUUUGCCAAAACAAUGGAAUCUGUCCAGAUCGCUUAUGCCUUUGUCCAGAGGAAUGGAUAGGCUACCACUGUGAGAUAGGUGGUGUUCCUAAAGCUACUCGGAUGUGCACUAGAAAAAAUUGGAAUACCUACUCUUGAACCUCCUAAUAUAUUGAAUUGCAAUGUGACCCUACUUGGCCUCUCUGAAAAGGCCAAUAUGAAAAUCUCAAAGUGAUUGAA